UACAGGCAAGAGGUCCACGAGGCAGAGAAACACUUCCAGCCCAAGCCAAACAGGAGGAUGAUAGUGAUCCACAGAGAGAAAAGGCAAGGAAAAACAUCUGAAAGGAGCUAGAGCAUAGGAACUGAAUCCCUUCUCAACUUUUGCAGCAACCAGUUCGGACUGCCCAGUGAGAGAUUUUUGCCUUGUCACAGCAUCUUUGAGAAAUCACCCGCUCUGCAGCACUCGGUAUCAAAGAAGGAUUUGCAUGGAGCUGCCGGGAGAGCUCAGCAUCCCCUCCUGGCCAGCCAUGCAUGGCACUCAGCUGCAAUCCCGCUGCAUUCCCAAACUCUCCGCAGCAAACAAAGGCAGCGGCAUGAGGUGGAUGCUGAUUGAUGGAAGCUGUGCCCUUGCCUGGGAGGAUUCAGAGUUGAUUUCCUUGCUGGGUGGUCACUGCUCUGAAGGAUUUCAGCUGAGAAUAUUCCACUUCCUACCAGCUCAGAUGUGUCUGGUCCUUCACAUCUUACAGAUUUGCCACAACACCACAGCAUAAAGGACCUGAAAAUGCUUUAACAUCCCAUGUCAGAUACCAUUACCCAAAAUGUAAGGCAAUAAAUUAUCUCAGUUGUGUGGAUUGA